AUUGAACGCUGGCGGCAUGCCUUACACAUGCAAGUCGAACGGCAGCGGACCUUCGGGUGCCGGCGAGUGGCGAACGGGUGAGUAAUGUAUCGGAACGUACCUUUCAGUGGGGGAUAACGUAGCGAAAGUUACGCUAAUACCGCAUAUUCUGUGAGCAGGAAAGCAGGGGAUCGCAAGACCUUGCGCUGAUUGAGCGGCCGAUAUCAGAUUAGCUAGUUGGUGAGGUAAAGGCUCACCAAGGCGACGAUCUGUAGCGGGUAUGAGAGGAUGAUCGGCCACACUGGAACUGAGACACGGUCCAGACUCCUACGGGAGGCAGCAGUGGGGAAUUUUGGACAAUGGGGGCAACCCUGAUCCAGCCAUGCCGCGUGAGUGAAGAAGGCCUUCGGGUUGUAAAGCUCUUUCGUCCGGGAAGAAAUCGCAUCAGCUAAUACCUGGUGUGGAUGACGGUACCGGAAUAAGAAGCACCGGCUAACUACGUGCCAGCAGCCGCCGUAACAC
rnacentral:rRNA from 1 species